rnacentral:rRNA from 1 species
UACGUAGGGGGCGAGCGUUGUCCGGAAUUAUUGGGCGUAAAGAGCGUGUAGGCGGUUCGGUAAGUCUGCCGUGAAAACCUGGGGCUCAACCCCGGGCGUGCGGUGGAUACUGCCGGGCUAGAGGGUGGUAGAGGCGAGUGGAAUUCCCGGUGUAGCGGUGAAAUGCGCAGAUAUCGGGAGGAACACCAGUGGCGAAGGCGACUACCUGGCCUGUUCUUGACGCUGAGGCGCGAAAGCUAGGGGAGCAAACGGG